GCCCGCUCAGAAACUAAAGGAAUGACGGGACCCCGCACAAGCGGUGGAUCAUGUUGUUUAAUUCGAUGAUACGCGAAGAACCUUACCAGGUCUUGACACUCCCCCGCGAUGCUUUUAGAGAUAAAGCGGAGGUAUUCGGGGAGACAGGUGGUGCAUGGUUGUCGUCAGCUCGUGUCGUGAGAUGUUGGGUUAAGUCCCGCAACGAGCGCAACCCCUACCUUUAGUUGCCAUCAGGUAAUGCUGGGGACUCUAAAGGAACUGCCUACGCAAGUAGUGAGGAAGGCGGGGAUGACGUCAAAUCAGCACGGCCCUUACGUCCAGGGCUACACACGUGCUACAAUGGCCGAUACAGAGGGCAGCUACCUGGUGACAGGAUGCAAAUCUCCAAAGUCGGUCUCAGUUCGGAUCGGAGUCUGCAACCCGACUCCGUGAAGUUGGAUUCGCUAGUAAUCGCGCAUCAGCCAUGGCGCGGUGAAUACGUUCCCGGGCCUU
rnacentral:rRNA from 1 species